GAUGAAGAACGUAGCGAAAUGCGAUAAGUAAUGUGAAUUGCAGAAUUCAGUGAAUCAUCGAAUCUUUGAACGCACAUUGCGCCCCGUGGUAUUCCGCGGGGCAUGCCUGUUCGAGCGUCAUUACACCACUCAAGCCUCGCUUGGUAUUGGGCGACGCGGUACGUCCGCGCGCCUCAAAUCUUCCGGCUGGUUCGAAUCGUCCCUCAGCGUUGUGGAAACUAUUCGCUAAAGGUGCGCGUUUCGGUCACGCCGUUAAACAAGCCAAUUUCAUUAAAGGUUGACCUCGGAUCAGGUAGGGAUACCCGCUGAACUUAAGCAUAUCAAUAAGCGGAGGGA
rnacentral:misc_RNA from 1 species